AGUCAAGUAAUUAAGUGCAUGUGGUGGAUGCCUUGGCAGUCAGAGGCGAUGAAAGACGUGAUAGCCUGCGAAAAGCUCCGGGGAGGCGGCAAAUAUCCUUUGAUCCGGAGAUGUCUGAAUGGGGGAACCCACCUACUUUAAGGUAGGUAUUGCAACAUGAAUACAUAGUGUUGCAAGGCGAACGAGGGGAAGUGAAACAUCUCAGUACCCUUAGGAAAAGAAAUCAAUUGAGAUUCCCUCAGUAGCGGCGAGCGAACGGGGAUCAGCCCAUUAAGUUAUGUGUGUUUUAGUGGAACGCUCUGGGAAGUGCGAACGUAGAGGGUGAUAUUCCCGUACACGAAAGGGCACACAUAAUGAUGACGAGUAGGGCGAGGCACGUGAAACCUUGUCUGAAUAUGGGGGGACCAUCCUCCAAGGCUAAAUACUCCUGACUGACCGAUAGUGAACCAGUACCGUGAGGGAAAGGCGAAAAGAACCCCUGUGAGGGGAGUGAAAUAGAUCCUGAAACCGCAUGCAUACAAGCAGUGGGAGCACCUUCGUGGUGUGACUGCGUACCUUUUGUAUAAUGGGUCAGCGACUUAUAUUCAGUAGCGAGGUUAACCGUAUAGGGGAGCCGUAGAGAAAUCGAGUCUUAAUAGGGCGUUUAGUUGCUGGGUAUAGACCCGAAACCAGGCGAUCUAUCCAUGAGCAGGUUGAAGGUUGGGUAACACUAACUGGAGGACCGAACCCACUGUCGUUGAAAAGCCAGGGGAUGACUUGUGGAUAGGGGUGAAAGGCUAAUCAAGCCUGGUGAUAGCUGGUUCUCCCCGAAAGCUAUUUAGGUAGCGCCUCGGACGAAUACCAUAGGGGGUAGAGCACUGUUUCGGCUAGGGGGUCAUCCCGACUUACCAAACCGAUGCAAACUCCGAAUACCUAUGAGUACUAUCCGGGAGACAGACUGCGGGUGCUAACGUCCGUAGUCAAGAGGAAAACAAUCCAGACCGCCAGCUAAGGCCCCAAAAUCAUAGUUAAGUGGGAAACGAUGUGGGAAGGCAUAGACAGCUAGGAGGUUGGCUUAGAAGCAGCCACCCUUUAAAGAAAGCGUAAUAGCUCACUAGUCGAGUCGGCCUGCGCGGAAGAUGUAACGGGGCUAAAACUAUGUGCCGAAGCUGCGGAUGUAUACUUUGUAUACGUGGUAGGGGAGCGUUCUGUAAGCCGAUGAAGGUGUGUUGAGAAGCAUGCUGGAGGUAUCAGAAGUGCGAAUGCUGACGUGAGUAACGACAAAACGGGUGAAAAACCCGUUCGCCGAAAGACCAAGGGUUCCAGUCCAACGUUAAUCGGGGCUGGGUGAGUCGACCCCUAAGGCGAGGCCGAAAGGCGUAGUCGAUGGGAAAAUGGUUAAUAUUCCAUUACUUCUGUGUAAUGCGAUGAGAGGACGGAGAAGGCUAAAUCAGCCUGGCGUUGGUUGUCCAGGUGAAAGGAUGUAGGCAUGUAUCUUAGGCAAAUCCGGGGUACUCUAUGCUGAGAUCUGAUAGCAAGCUGUACUUGUACAGCGAAGUGGUUGAUGCCAUGCUUCCAGGAAAAGUCUCUAAGCUUCAGUUACACAGGAAUCGUACCCGAAACCGACACAGGUGGUCAGGUCGAGUAGACCAAGGCGCUUGAGAGAACUCUGCUGAAGGAACUAGGCAAAAUGGUACCGUAACUUCGGGAGAAGGUACGCUGUUGUUGGUGAUGGAACUCGCUUCCUGAGCUGACGACAGCCGCAGAAACCAGGCCGCUGCAACUGUUUAUUAAAAACAUAGCACUCUGCAAACACGAAAGUGGACGUAUAGGGUGUGAUGCCUGCCCGGUGCUGGAAGGUUAAUUGAUGGGGUUAGCGUAAGCGAAGCUCUUGAUCGAAGCCCCAGUAAACGGCGGCCGUAACUAUAACGGUCCUAAGGUAGCGAAAUUCCUUGUCGGGUAAGUUCCGACCUGCACGAAUGGCAUAAUGAUGGCGGCGCUGUCUCCAGCAGAGGCUCAGUGAAAUCGAAAUCGCUGUGAAGAUGC
rnacentral:rRNA from 1 species